rnacentral:rRNA from 1 species
GAUGAACGCUGACAGAAUGCUUAACACAUGCAAGUCGAUGGGGAAGUGGUGCUUGCACCAUGGUAACCAUGGCGGACGGGUGAGUAACGCGUAAGGAACUUACCUGCGGGACCGGGAUAACAGCAGGAAACUGCUGACAAGACCGGAUAAGGUCAUUAAGCUGCAUAGCUUAGUGAUGAAAGGAGACGCCUGCGGAGAGCCUUGCGUCCUAUUAGCUAGUUGGAGGGGUAACGGCCCACCAAGGCGAAGAUAGGUAGCCGGCCUGAGAGGGUGGACGGCCACAAGGGGACUGAGAGACGGCCCUUACUCCUACGGGAGGCAGCAGUGGGGAAUAUUGGACAAUGGGGGCAACCCUGAUCCAGCAAUUCUGUGUGCACGAAGACGGUUUUCGGAUUGUAAAGUGCUUUCAGCAGGGAAGAAGGAAGUGACGGUACCUGCAGAAGAAGCGACGGCUAAAUACGUG